rnacentral:rRNA from 1 species
CCUACGGGGGGCUGCAGUGAGGUAUAUUGGUCAAUGGCCGGAAGGCUGAACCAGCCAAGCCGCGUGAAGGACGAAGGUGCCAAGCAUUGUAAACUUCUUUUGUCAAGGGACAAAAUCAGGCUCGAGAGCCUGACCGAGGGUACUUGAAGAAAAAGCAUCGGCUAACUCCGUGACAGCAGCCGCGGUAAUACGGAGGAUGCGAGCGUUCUCCGGAUUUAUUGGGUUUAAAGGGUGCGUAGGCGGACUGUUAAGUCAGCGGUAAAAGCCCGGGGCGCAACCCCGGCGAGCCGUUGAAACUGGCUGUCUUGUGAUGUCGAGAGGUAUGCGGAAUGCGCAGUGUAGCGGUGAAAUGCUUAGAUAUUGCGCAGAACUCCGAGUGCGAAGGCAGCAUACCGGCGGCGAUCUGACGCUGAGGCACGAAAGCGUGGGUAUCGAACAGGAUUAGAUACCCCUGUAGUG